rnacentral:rRNA from 1 species
AAUGAACGCUGGCGGCAUGCCUUACACAUGCAAGUCGAACGGCAGCAUGACCUAGCUUGCUAGGUUGAUGGCGAGUGGCGAACGGGUGAGUAAUGCAUCGGAACGUGCCUUUUAGUGGGGGAUAACGUAGCGAAAGUUACGCUAAUACCGCAUAUUCUCUGAGGAGGAAAGCAGGGGACCUUCGGGCCUUGCGCUAGAAGAGCGGCCGGUGUCGGAUUAGCUAGUUGGUGAGGUAAAGGCUCACCAAGGCAACGAUCCGUAGCGGGUCUGAGAGGAUGAUCGGCCACACUGGGACUGAGACACGGCCCAGACUCCUACGGGAGGCAGCAGUGGGGAAUUUUGGACAAUGGGCGCAAGCCUGAUCCAGCCAUGCCGCGUGAGUGAAGAAGGCCUUCGGGUUGUAAAGCUCUUUUGGCUGGGAAGAAAUCGCAUCCUCUAAUACAGGGUGUGGAUGACGGUACCAGCAUAAGAAGCACCGGCUAACUACGUG